rnacentral:rRNA from 1 species
UCCAGAAGUUUGAUCAUGGCUCAGGACGAACGCUGGCGGCGUGCCUAAUACAUGCAAGUCGAGCGGACCGACGGGAGCUUGCUCCCUUAGGUCAGCGGCGGACGGGUGAGUAACACGUGGGUAACCUGCCUGUAAGACUGGGAUAACUCCGGGAAACCGGGGCUAAUACCGGAUGCUUGAUUGAACCGCAUGGUUCAAUCAUAAAAGGUGGCUUUCAGCUACCACUUGCAGAUGGACCCGCGGCGCAUUAGCUAGUUGGUUCUAACGGCUCACCAAGGCGACGAUGCGUAGCCGACCUGAGAGGGUGAUCGCCACACUGACUAGAACGGCUUAGACUCCUACGGGAGGCAGCAGUAGGGAAUCUUCCGCAAUGGACGAAAGUCUGACGGAGCAACGCCGCGUGAGUGAUGAAGGUUUUCGGAUCGUAAAACUCUGUUGUUAGGGAAGAACAAGUACCGUUCGAAUAGGGCGGUACCUUGACGGUACCUAACCAGAAAGCCACGGCUAACUACGUGCCAGCAGCCGCGGUAAUACGUAGGUGGCACAGACGUUGUCCGGAAUUAUUGGGCGUAAAGCGCGCGCAGGCGGUUUCUUAAGUCUGAUGUGAAAGCCCCCGGCUCAACCGGGGAGGGUCAUUGGAAACUGGGGAACUUGAGUGCAGAAGAGGAGAGUGGAAUUCCACGUGUAGCGGUGAAAUGCGUAGAGAUGUGGAGGAACACCAGUGGCGAAGGCGACUCUCUGGUCUGUAACUGACGCUGAGGCGCGAAAGCGUGGGGAGCGAACAGGAUUAGAUACCCUGGUAGUCCACGCCGUAAACGAUGAGUGCUAAGUGUUAGAGGGUUUCCGCCCUUUAGUGCUGCAGCAAACGCAUUAAGCACUCCGCCUGGAGAUUCACGUCGCAAGACUGAAACUCAAAGGAAUUGACGGGGGCCCGCACAAGCGGUGGAGCAUGUGGUUUAAUUCGAAGCAACGCGAAGAACCUUACCAGGUCUUGACAUCCUCUGACAACCCUAGAGAUAGGGCUUCCCCUUCGGGGGCAGAGUGACAGGUGGUGCAUGGUUGUCGUCAGCUCGUGUCGUGAGAUGUUGGGUUAAGUCCCGCAACGAGCGCAACCCUUGAUCUUAGUUGCCAGCAUUCAGUUGGGCACUCUAAGGUGACUGCCGGUGACAAACCGGAGGAAGGUGGGGAUGACGUCAAAUCAUCAUGCCCCUUAUGACCUGGGCUACACACGUGCUACA